UGAGUGGGUGGGGAAAUAUUUUGGGCUACAAAAGGGGAGGCAUGGGAAAGGACCGACACAUGUGUUGAAGAAAUAUGAUACAUAAUAAAACUGAACAGGGUCUUGAACAGGAUCAUAAUGCCGACCUCUAUCUGACUUGGGGGGAAACAGACAAAACUGGGGUUGGGACAUAUAACACAUUCUGAAGAAAUAUGAUACCUACUAAAACUGAACAGGGAUGGGAACAGGGUCGUGCAUUUACGACCUCUACUGACGCAGGAGGGGUGCUUGAAAAAAGGGAUGGAGAGAGGAAUGCUCAAAUAUUUUAAUGGUUAUUUCUCAAGUUACAAAUAUUUAGUGAAAGAUAAGUUUUCGAAAAACAUAGUCGGAGGGGGACGGGAGGACGUCUCAGACCCUCUAUCCGACGCGAUGGUUCCUUAUGGGUCAUUACCUAUACAAAUUUAACAACUACAAUUAGAAACUCACAAAUAAUAUGAUAUCUAAGUUUAACUCAAGUGGUCAAAGCCCUUUUUCUAAAGCUGAUUUUACUAACCCUUAAAAUUUGUAUACCAAAUUUUGGUUGGACUAUUUGAAAUCAUUCAUAAAUUUUGACAUUAUUUUAUAGCAAUUAAUAAAUUCUAUACUUUUAAUUUAUUUAUUAUCUAGGAUUUGCUCCCUGGAGGAAAUGAGUACAGAUUAUAUGAGAGUGAUGAAGUUUUAAAGUCAUCUUUAAUUCAUUGGAUUUUGCCUAAGCAAUCAAUAUGGGCAGAGCUGAUUAAUGUUCAUGUUCUGAGAUGCUUUCAGGCUGAUUUUGAUGCCUGGAUUGACAUAAUAAAAUAUAAUAUUAAUUUUGAUGAGGAUGAAUUUAGUUUGGAAAAACUAAAUCUUGAGCACAUGGCAGCUGCAUAUGUCCUACUUGGUAUUGGACUGGGAUUAUCUGCCUUAGGAAUGAU